AACGAACGCUGGCGGCAGGCCUAACACAUGCAAGUCGAGCGGAUCCUUCGGGAUUAGCGGCGGACGGGUGAGUAACGCGUGGGAAUAUGCCCUUCUUUACGGAAUAGCCUCGGGAAACUGGGAGUAAUACCGUAUACGCCCUACGGGGGAAAGAUUUAUCGGAGAAGGAUUAGCCCUAGUUGGAUUAGGUAGUUGGUGGGGUAAUGGCCUACCAAGCCUACGAUCCAUAGCUGGUUUGAGAGGAUGAACAGCCACACUGGGACUGAGACACGGCCCAGACUACUACGGGAGGCAGCAGUGGGGAAUCUUAGACAAUGGGGGAAACCCUGAUCUAGCCAUGCCGCGUGAGUGAUGAAGGCCUCAGGGUUGUAAAGCUCUUUCAGCUGGGAAGAUAAUGACGGUACCAGCAGAAGAAGCCCCGGCUAACUCCGUGCCAGCCGCCGCGGUAAGAC
rnacentral:rRNA from 1 species